rnacentral:misc_RNA from 1 species
UGUGAUUUGAGGUAAUCCGAACUUACAAUAUUUUCAUCUUAAAGAGAAAUUUCGUAGUUCUUUAAUCAUGCUUUGUUUUUUAUUCUCUGCUUGUUCUCAAGUUUACCCAAAGAAAUUGACAAUGCUAGCAACUGAGAGGGUGUCUGCAUUUGUUCAGUUAUAAUUGAAUCAGAGUGAUUUAUAAUUUAUAAAACUCUUUGACCAUUUGGUCAUUACAGAGAUUCUGUCUGACGUAAAUUCUUGAUUAAUUUAUAAAUCUCUAUUUAUCCACCUGGUAUUUGUACAAUUUUCGACUCACUCCCCCAUCUUGUUGUUAAGUAAAGAUUGUAUGUAUGAUGGUAAACUCUCCAUGGUUUCUGAGUUGUUUAUUCCACCAGUUGCAUCCCUGGUUUCUACCCUAAGUGGCUUUUGCAUUUGUUUGAAACUUCAGUGCUAAUUUGCUUAUGGGAAAUCAUUGCACCAGCUGCAGUUCACGUUUUCAUAUUAAUUUGUGUAACAUGUGCUUUGAGUGGAAAUAUUUGGGUGUGCAGGUUCAUAUAUUUCCCUUAUUUCUAGGUUUUUCAUCUUUUAGGUGACAUUAGCUGGCUGAGAGAUGAAAACUAGAUGCCUGGCUUUGGUUGUAGAUAAGGGCAUCACCAAUUAAUAAUUAUUUCCUCAAUAGAUGCUCAUAUACUUUUUCUACACAGUCCUAAAUUGUAUUUGUAGACUUAGAUUUUCAUAUGCUGAUGUGGGGAAGUUGGAAUUGAAUCUCAAAUUUACUGAAUUUGAUAGCGUCAAUACGUGCAAGUUUGAUUUGCACUGCAAUGCCAUUCUUUGUUUUUCACUCUUAUUAUUAUUGUUUUUUAUUUAUCAUGAGAAGAGAAAGGGCUGAGAGUUGGUGUGACUGGAGAAUAUACAUGACAUUGGGUGAUAGUGCCUUGCAAUUUUAUCAGAGAACAAGAUGAUUUAAUCUUGAAUAUUUGUUUUAUACUAUGGCAUGAUAUGAGAAGGGUCCUGAAGUUAUUAUGUUGAAAGAUUUAUAUUUUUCUAUCAGUGGCUGCUAGCAUAAAGUUCAAGUAUUUGCUCUUUUGCUGUUCAUGUAUAGAUGCCUACAGUCUUUAGUUUAACUUACUGAUGAGUGAGCUAUUUGGAUCAUCAUAUAAUUGAUUUAUUUCUAAGAGGGCCAGGUUAUAUUUUGC